GAUGAACGCUGGCGGCGUGCCUAAUACAUGCAAGUCGAGCGAACAGACGAGGAGCUUGCUCCUCUGACGUUAGCGGCGGACGGGUGAGUAACACGUGUAUAACCUACCUAUAAGACUGGGAUAACUUCGGGAAACCGGAGCUAAUACCGGAUAAUAUAUUGAACCGCAUGGUUCAAUAGUGAAAGACGGUUUUGCUGUCACUUAUAGAUGGAUCCGCGCCGCAUUAGCUAGUUGGUAAGGUAACGGCUUACCAAGGCGACGAUGCGUAGCCGACCUGAGAGGGUGAUCGGCCACACUGGAACUGAGACACGGUCCAGACUCCUAAGGGAGGCAGCAGUAGGGAAUCUUCCGCAAUGGGCGAAAGCCUGACGGAGCAACGCCGCGUGAGUGAUGAAGGUCUUCGGAUCGUAAAACUCUGUUAUUAGGGAAGAACAAAUGUGUAAGUAACUAUGCACGUCUUGACGGUACCUAAUCAGAAAGCCACGGCUAACUACGUG
rnacentral:rRNA from 1 species